rnacentral:rRNA from 1 species
UACGUAGGGGGCGAGCGUUGUCCAGAUUUAUUGGGCGUAAAGAGCUCGUAGGCGGUUUGGUAAGUCGGGUGUGAAAUCUCCACGCUCAACGUGGAGGGGCCACUCGAUACUGCCAUGACUCGAGUCCGGUAGAGGAGUGUGGAAUUCCCGGUGUAGCGGUGAAAUGCGCAGAUAUCGGGAGGAACACCCGUAGCGAAGGCGGCACUCUGGGCCGGAACUGACGCUGAGGAGCGAAAGCGUGGGGAGCAAACAGG